CCUGCGGAGGGAUCAUUACUGAGUUUACGCUCUACAACCCUUUGUGAACAUACCUAUAACUGUUGCUUCGGCGGGUAGGGUCUCCGCGACCCUCCCGGCCUCCCGCCUCCGGGCGGGUCGGCGCCCGCCGGAGGAUAACCAAACUCUGAUUUAACGACGUUUCUUCUGAGUGGUACAAGCAAAUAAUCAAAACUUUUAACAACGGAUCUCUUGGUUCUGGCAUCGAUGAAGAACGCAGCGAAAUGCGAUAAGUAAUGUGAAUUGCAGAAUUCAGUGAAUCAUCGAAUCUUUGAACGCACAUUGCGCCCGCCAGCAUUCUGGCGGGCAUGCCUGUUCGAGCGUCAUUUCAACCCUCAAGCUCUGCUUGGUGUUGGGGCCCUACAGCUGAUGUAGGCCCUCAAAGGUAGUGGCGGACCCUCUCGGAGCCUCCUUUGCGUAGUAACUUUACGUCUCGCACUGGGAUCCGGAGGGACUCUUGCCGUAAAACCCCCAAUUUUCCAAAGGUUGACCUCGGAUCAGGUAGGAAUACCCGCUGAACUUAAGCAUAUCAAUAA
rnacentral:rRNA from 2 species